rnacentral:rRNA from 1 species
UACGGAGGGGCGAGUCGUGUUCGGUGAAUUACUGGGGUCGGUAAAGCGCACGUAGGCGGCUUUGUAAGUUAGAGGUGAAAGCCCGGGGCUCAACUCCGGAACUGCCUUUAAGACUGCAUCGCUUGAAUCCGGGAGAGGUGAGUGGAAUUCCGAGUGUGAGAGGUGAAAUUCGUAGUAUUCGGAAGAACACCAGUGGCGAAGCGGCUCACUGGACCGGUAUUGACGC